CAAGCGUUUGGAAGCGGAGAUUCGCCCGAUCACGACUCCGGAAGUGGUGUCGAAAGUGAUUGCGACGUGCGCCCGCGUGCGGGUCGAGGAAAGCUUGG
rnacentral:tRNA from 1 species